rnacentral:rRNA from 1 species
GUGCCAGCAGCCGCGGUAAUACGUAGGGGGCAAGCGUUGUCCGGAUUUAUUGGGCGUAAAGAGCGUGUAGGCGGCUUGGUAGGUCUUGCGUCAAAACCUGAGGCUCAACCUCAGUUCGCGUGGGAAACCAUCUAGCUAGAGUCCGGAAGAGGAGAACGGAAUUCCCAGUGUAGCGGUGAAAUGCGCAGAUAUUGGGAAGAACACCAGUGGCGAAGGCGGUUCUCUGGGACGGUACUGACGCUGAGACGCGAAAGCGUGGGGAGCGAACAGGAUUAGAUACCCCUGUAGUCC